rnacentral:rRNA from 1 species
AUGGACACCGCCAUAGGCGCGGCGAGGUGGGUGCUGGAGAAGGCUCUGGCCCCUGUCACGGAUGGUUUGCUGGAGGCCUGGGCAGCUAGCGCGGAUCUCGAUGGCAACAUCGACGCCCUCAAGAUGGAGCUGUUGUAUGCGCAUGGGAUGCUCGAGAAUGCCCAGGGCAGGGGCAUCCGUGGCCUCGCGCUCAAGGAGCUCCUGCGCAAGCUGGAGCAGCUCGCAUACCGGGCUGAUGAUGUGCUGGAUGAGAUGGAGUACUUCCGCAUCCAGGACGCCCUUAAAGGAACUUACCAUGCCACUGACAUGAUCGCUGUGGGUUCCGUUCAGGGCCUCCGCAUCAAUGUUGAACACACGGCGAGGCAUGUCACCAGCAAGCUCAACUGCCUUCCGUGCUUGGGUGCUGCUAGCCGUGAUGGUGACCAAGAAAAUGACCCUGGUGAUCUCCAAGAAAAUUAUUCUGGUGAUCACCAAGAAAAUGUUGGCAAGCAAGGAUGCUUGUAUGGCAGGCGGGGCGUCAGCUCCAAGCAAGGCUGUGUCAAGAAGGUUGGUGGCAGAUGCAUGCCCAAGGUCAUCUCAAGUGCUCGCAACGCUGCCCACACUUUCGGUAAACACUUUCCAUGCUACUCUCCUAUAUCUGUCCACCAUGAUAAUCCUCAAGCCCCUGUGACUGUUCAAAUAGAAAAUGAUAAUCCUCAAGCUAUCAUGCCAGAGGUUGCAAACCAUAGCGAUUGCGAAGAAUUGAAGUUUAAUAGGGUGCAAAUGUCUAAAACGAUGAUGGACAUGGUAGUUCAGCUGAAGGAAGUAUGUGCUAAGGUCUCCAUAAUUCUUAAUCUAGAUUUGUUAGGCUCUAGCCGCACUCGCAUCCAAGAAAUUGCUAUAAACAGAUCCAAAACCACAUUAGAGAUUGUAGAACCUGAGUUUUACGGGAGGGAUGACCAAAAAACGAAAAUUGUAGAUGUUAUUAAUAGUCAUGAGUACUCUUUGAGUCAACUUAACGUGCUUCCAAUUUUUGGAACGGGGGGUAUUGGAAAAACAACUUUUACGCAACACAUAUGCCAAGAAGUCAAUAGCUCUUUCCAGGCUUCAAUUUGGAUAUGUGUCUCUCUCGAUUUUAGUGCAGAUAGGUUGGCAAAAGAGAUAGUCAACAAAAUCGAUAGAGUUGAUGGUGAAAAGGAUAACGCUAGUGCUGAAGAACUUAUUCAACAAAGACUAAAAGGCAAGAGGUUUUUACUUGUCUUGGAUGAUGUGUGGACAUACCGAGAGGAUGAGUGGAAAAAACUAUUAGCACCUUUCAAAAAGGUUGAAUCCAAGGGUAAUUUCAUUAUAGUCACAACUCGAAUACCAAUGGUAGCAGAAAUGGUUAGGACAACCAAUUGCGAACUAGAGCUGGACAGGCUAGAUGAUGCAGAUACCAUGUGUUUCUUCGAAGCAUGUGUAUUUGGUAACGAGCUAGAACCAUGGGGAGAACAUCCUGCUGCAUUACUUGAAACUGGUCACGAAAUAGUGCGCCGUUUGAAAGGUUCCCCUCUUGCAACUAAAACUGUAGGUAGAUUACUACGAAACCUACUUACUUUGGACUAUUGGAAAAGAGUUCUAGAAAGCAAAGAAUGGGAACUAGAAACCAGUGAGAGUGACAUCAUGCCAGCCCUCAAACUUAGCUAUGAUUUUCUCCCUUUCCAUUUAAAACAGUUGUUUGUAUAUUGUGCUUUAUUUCCUGAAGAUUAUGAAUUUGAUAGCAAGGAGUUAGUUCAAUUGUGGGUUGGACUUGGUAUUUUGCGUCCAUGUGACCAGAAUAGAAGGACCGAAGAUGUUGGACUAGACCAUUUGCAUGAGUUGGUCAAUUACGGUUUUUUCAGAAAAGACAAAAAAGAAGAUGGUCGUUAUUUUUAUGUUAUUCAUGAUCUAUUGCACGAAUUGGCCACCAAGGUAUCGUCAGAUGAAUGUGUUAGCAUAUGUAGUUCUAAUGUCAGGUCCAUACACAUCUCCCCAUCUGUACGUCAUUUAUCCAUAAUUGUAGAUGACAAAGAUGUUGAUGAUAGAAUGACUUUCGGCGACUAUAAAGAUGAUUUGCGUGCAUUAGGUAAAAGAUUAAAAGUUGAAAACCUACGUACUCUGAUGUUGUUUAUACGAUAUCAUGGUAGCUUCGCCAAGAUCUUUCGUGAUCUGUUUAAAAAAGCCAAAGCCCUUCGCACUAUUUUUCUAUCUGGAGCAUCAUACUCUAUGGAGGACAUUCUGCAUAAUUUUUCAGAAAACAUCCAUCUUCGUUACCUAAGGAUCGAGCCAUCAGAUAACGCAGGCAACAUCGACUUGCCUAGUAUGCUAUUCCAAUUUUAUCAUCUAGAGAUAAUAAAUCUUGAAAAAUGGAAAGACGCUGUUUCAAUUAGACAUAUCACCAACCUUAUAAAGCUGCGUCAUUUCCUAGUGCCAAAAGGAGAUCCUGAGGGUCAUUCUGACAUAUCUGAGGUGGGAAAACUUAAAUUGCUUUCAGAAUUAAGAAGGUUUGAGGUUGGUAAAGAAAAUACUGGUUUCGAACUAAGUCAGCUAGCGCAAUUAACAGAGCUUGGAGGGUCGCUUAGUAUUUAUAAUCUUGAAAAGGUGCAAGAGAAGGGGGCACGGGGAAAGGAACUAAUUAUAAAACCAAUACAUAGGAACCACUUGCGUGAACUAACAUUAGAGUGGGAUAUGGAAAGAUCUACCAGGGAGCCAAGAAGAGAAGAAAAUGUUCUGGAAAACCUUGCACCACAUAGUGACCUUCGAGAUCUGUGCAUUAGAGGGCACGGAGGUACUAGUUGCCCAACAUGGCUAGGUAAGAACCUCUUGGUCAAAAAUUUGGAAUCUCUUCACUUGGCUGAUGUAUCUUGGAAAACUUUCCCACCAUUAGGAGAGUUCUGGUCGGUCCAUGAGCCCCAUGGUGAGUGCAAGGGUUGCAUUGCAAGCCCAGGCUAUCAAAACUAUUGUCUCAAAAAACAAGGCUUUCAAAAUUUAAAAAAGCUAGUGUUUAUUAAGAUACCAAAACUGACAAACUGGGCUGCAAAUCAAACUUGUGGUUUUUUCUUCCACCUGGAAGUGCUCAUUAUUGAAGACUGCCAUGAACUUGUGGAGUUGCCAUUUUCAUGUUGUACUUGCUCCCAACCAGAGCAAGAAGUAGCGAACAUGACUUGGUUCUCUAGACUACGGGAGCUCAAGAUUGUAAGAUUCCCAAACCUAAGGACAAUACCUCCUAUCCCUUGGACCCGUACUCUAUGCUCCAUUGAGAUAGCACAAACAGGCUCAAAUUUUAAGAAGCUCACUUACUCGGAAAGAUGGUACGGAAGACCAGGAUUAAGGUUGGAAAUUUGGGCGGCGGAUGGUGCAGAUGGCUUGUUUUGGAAUGAGUUUGCUUUCGGUAAUUUGCGUGAUCUAAAAGAGUUGACUAUAACUAAUUGCCCUCCUUUGCCCUUGGGUAUCGUACAAAUGCUAACAUCUCUGCAGUCCCUCACUAUAAGUGGUUAUUCGAGUAUUGUCCUAUCACCAAUCGGAGGCGAGAGCCAUGUCCUGUACCAGAUUCCAGUUGAAGAACUCUGCAUUUCUGAAAGUGGUGGUGGCGGGAAAGAAUUGACUCAACUGCUCUCUCAGUUCCCGAAGCUCACCGGCCUGCAAAUAGAAAGGUGUGAAAAGAUGACAGAACUUGGUGUGUCGGAGUGGCAGAGUGGAAAACACCAGCAAGAGACAAAAGACGAGGAGGAAAUAGUGGCGAUGGCAGAAGGAGGACUGCUGCUCUUGCCUACCCAACUACAGGAGUUGAAGCUCCGAAGUUGCGCUCAGCUGAGAAUACUCCCCAGUUCAUGUUCAGGGGGCGACAACAAGGAAGCAGCAGCAGGAGGUCUCCAGCGUCUACGCUCCCUCCGCCAAUUGCGUGUAGAGAAUUGCCCCAAUUUGCUUUCCUCAUAUUCGGACUCCUCGUCUUGUUUCCCUUUCCCGAGCUCUCUGGAAGAACUCACUCUAUUCGGCCUGGAAGAACUCACAAACCUAAGAGUUAGCCGUUCCUCAAUACUACAUACCCUAUCCAUAGAGGACUCCUCCGGAGUUCUGUCGGUGUCCAUCUGCAGCCUCCUCUCUUCCUCCCUCACCACAUUGACCUUUCUUGGUAGCAAAGAGGUGGAGCCCAUACCAGAAGAGGCCCUCCGGCUUCUCACCUCCCUCCAAGAUCUCACAUUUCUUUGUUGCGACAAAUUGCAGAUCCUCCCGGCAGGUCUAAAGAGACUUGCCAGCAUCAAGAACUUACGUUUCUUUUCAUGCAACUCUCUCCAUUCGCUUCCCAUGGACGGCCUCCCGAGUUCUUUGCACAGCUUAUUAUUCUACGGAUGUUCCAUGAAAUCAUUGCCCAAGGACAGCCUCCCGAGUUCUCUGCAGGAAUUAGAGAUCUCAGGUUGUUCUGAACUCGAAUUACUUCCCACUUUUUCGGACGGCCACCCGAGUUCUCUACAGGAAUUAAAGAUAUGGAAUUGUCCUGCCAUCAAAUCGGUGCCCAAGGACGCCCUCCCGAAUUCUCUUCAGGAAUUAGAGAUCAGUUACUGUCCUGACAUCAAAUCGCUUCCAGAGGACGGGCUCCCUGAANCCCUGCGAGUACUAAACGUCAGUGUAGGCAAUAGCGAGGAGCUUAAAAGGCAGUGCCGCAGGUUAACAGGGACAAUUCCAAUAAUCAGAGCCUGA